GCGCCCAGGUGUGCCCAGGUGUGCACAGGUGCGCCCAGGUGCGCCCAGGUGUUGCCCAGGUGUGCCCAGGUGUGCCAAGGUGUGCCCAGGUGUGCCCAGGUGUUCCCC